GCCGCGAAUUCGCCCUUAGAGUUUGAUCCUGGCUCAGGAUGAACGCUGGCGGCGUGCCUAACACAUGCAAGUCGAGCGUGAAGCUUGAAAACAAACCUUCGGGUGAGUUUUUAAGUGGAAAGCGGCGGACGGGUGAGUAACGCGUGGGCAACCUACCUCAUACUAAGGGAUAGCCACUGGAAACGGUGAUUAAUACCUUAUAAGACUACAAUAACACAUGUUAUAGUAGUAAAAGAUUUAUCGGUAUGAGAUGGGCCCGCGUCUGAUUAGCUAGUUGGUAAGGUAACGGCUUACCAAGGCUUCGAUCAGUAGCCGACCUGAGAGGGUAAUCGGCCACACUGGAACUGAGACACGGUCCAGACUCCUACGGGAGGCAGCAGUGGGGAAUAUUGCACAAUGGGCGAAAGCCUGAUGCAGCAACGCCGCGUGAGUGAUGAAGGCUUUCGAGUCGUAAAGCUCUGUCCUAAGGGAAGAAUUGAUGACGGUACCUUAGGAGGAAGCCCCGGCUAACUACGUGCCAGCAGCCGCGGUAAUACGUAGGGGGCAAGCGUUAUCCGGAAUCAUUGGGCGUAAAGGGUGCGUAGGCGGCCAAAUAAGUUAGAGGUGAAAGGCUAUGGCUUAACCAUAGUAAGCCUUUAAAACUGUUUGGAUUGAGUGCAGGAGAGGAAAGUGGAAUUCCUAGUGUAGCGGUGAAAUGCGUAGAUAUUAGGAGGAACACCAGUGGCGAAGGCGACUUUCUGGACUGUAACUGACGCUGAGGCACGAAAGCGUGGGGAGCAAACAGGAUUAGAUACCCUGGU
rnacentral:rRNA from 1 species